rnacentral:rRNA from 1 species
CUGCUCAAUGAUUUUUUAAAUUGCUGUGGUAUUUUGACUAUACAAAGGUAUUGAAAUAAGACUUUAAUUGAGUGCUAAGAGAAUGGAAUUUCAUAAAAUUUCUUUCUUAAUUUUAAAAAUUGAAAUUAAUUUUAUAUGUGAAGAAACAAUAAUAAAAAUUAAGGACAAGAAGACCCUAAGAAUUUUAAAAAUUUCAAUAAAAUGCUGUAUUUUAUUGAAAUUUUUUAAUUGGGGCGAUUAUUAAAUAUUAAAAACUUUAAUUUUUUUAAAAAAGAACCAAUAAUAUUGGUUAUUUGAAAAAAUACUCUAGGGAUAACAGCGUAAUAAUUUUUGAUAGUUCUUAUAGACAAAAUAGUUUGCGACCUCGAUGUUGGAUUAGGAUUCUUUUUUAAUGAAGAAGUUAAAAAAAGAAGUUUGUUCAACUUUUAAAAUCCUACUUGAUCUGAGUUCAGACCGG